rnacentral:rRNA from 1 species
GUUGACCUCGAAUCAGGUAGGACUACCCGCUGAACUUAAGCAUAUCAAUAAGCGGAGGAAAAGAAA